AUGAUUCAGACUAGCCAUGCACGUCUAGUACAAACUAAAUGAUGGUGAAACUGCAAAUGGCUCAUUACAACGGUUAUGAUGUACCCGGGAGUUCCGAUGGAUAUUUCCAGUAACACUAGAACUAAUACAUGUCCCUGCGUUUAUUAGUUUCGCACAGUCCGUCGCUGAGUCAUGGUAAACAGUUGAUCGACUCGACGUCCCGGAACAGUUUCCGCCCCAUCAGCUUCGAUGGUUGGGUAUUGGCCUACCAUUGCAACAACGGGUAACGAGGAAUUAGGGUUUGAUUUCGGAGAGGGAGCCUGAGAAACGGCUACCACAUCUACGGAUGGCAGCAGGCGCGCAAAUUACCCAAUGCAGACACUGUGAGGUAGUGACGAGAAAUAAUAAAGCGGGACUUCUGUUUCGCUAUUAUAAUGAGGAAUAACCAAAGGUCAUUCCGAUUAGCAACUGAUGGGAAAGUCUGGUGCCAGCAGCCGCGGUAAUACCAGCGUCAGUAGCAU
rnacentral:rRNA from 1 species